AGCCGGCCCUGAUUCUGGGUGUUCUUGGAGGGGGUUUUUUUCGCUUGGGGCGGCAAAAAACCUAGCGCUGGGCCUGGUUGACCACCACUGACGUGGACCGGAGUGAUGGACGCGCUGCGCUCCUAAUAAGCAGGCCUUAACUAACUUGCCUCUUUUAACCAGGUGUUUGUCACGGCUGGCUGAUGCAGUGGCUUGGAAAGACGGCAACUUCUCAAAGCACAGGUUCUUCAAAUCCCAGAGUCAACUCAGCCCUUCAUCCUUCAAUUCACUGCUGUGCACUCAGGAGUUAUUGCGCAAGUGGGGUUUUUUUUGGGGGGGGCCUCCCCAAAAAAUGAAGACACCCAUAAUCACAUCGGCUCUUGGAACAUUUCAGCCUUGGUGGUUGCAGACGGAUACACUUCAUCUGUUGGACAGGUAGCAGCAUGGGAGGUGGCAAGGCCUUCAAACUCCCAAGAGGUGAGCAGAGGACUCUGGCUGUUACCGACAUGAACGCAGGUGAAUUCCAAAGUUAAAAUGAUGGUCAAAACAACCGUAGUUCCAGCGCAGCUUCCAACAUCUACCUCCUCACUGCUCUCUCCUG